UUUGGGAGGAGGGGGCUAAAUUUUAGCCCCCGUCACAUCGAAUGUUUGGACACUAAUUAGGAGUAUUAAACUUAGACUAAUUACAAAACUAAUUACACAACCUCUAGGCUAAAUCGCGAGACGAAUCUAUUAAGCCUAAUUAGUCCAUGAUUUGAUAAUGUGGUGCUACAGUAACCAUUCACUAAUGAUGGAUUAAUUAGACUUAAUAGAU
rnacentral:lncRNA from 1 species